GGUUGGUCCAAGUGCAGUGCUGUUUGCAAUUAAUUGAUCACAACCAGUUACAGAUUGCUUUGUUCCUUCUCCACUCUCACUGCUUCACUAGACCAGCCUUUA
ensembl:misc_RNA Y_RNA Y RNA